rnacentral:rRNA from 1 species
CCCUUAGAUGUUCUGGGCUGCACACGUGCUACACUGGCAGGUUCAGCGAGCUUCAUGCCCUGAUCUGAAAGGAAUGGGAAAUCUUUUCAAAACCUGCCGUGCUUGGGAUAGAUGUUUGCAAUUAUUCAUCUUCAACGAGGAUUGCCUUGUAAGCGCACGUCAUCAGCGUGCAUUGAAUACGACCCUGUAUUCUGUACACACCGCCCGUCGCUCCUACCGAUUGAAGUUUUCGGUGAGUUGGCAGGAGGAUUUUUUUGAAACUGGUUCGCCAGUGGAUUUUAGAUCCAAAUGCCAACGAAUCGAUGGCUUUAGAGGAAGGAGAAGUCGUAACA